rnacentral:lncRNA from 10 species
UUGAACAAAUGGUUUUUUAUUUUAAAAAAAAACUUUAUUAAAGAGAUAGUUUGGGGCAUUUUUUCUUUACAUUAUUUUAAAAUGACAAUAUCCUUCUAUGUUAGAAAUACAACAAUUUUGGAAAUCAUUUCUAAAUAUCUUUAGCACCCCACUAUUCUUAAUGUCAUGUUACAUGAAAUUUACAUAAUCUAGUUUAGAAUCAGCAUUACUGGGAAAAAGACAAUGUUCCUAUAUAAAUUCUACUACAUAUAAUAUAUAUAUGCUACUGUUUAUGAGAAGGGUCAAUAGGAUAAAGAAACUUUCAAAAAAUUAUAUACACAUACACAAAUACACAAGAACAUUUUAUAUUCAUUAUUCAAUAAUCCUUAGAAUGAUGACAAUGCUUAUAUGUAAAAAAUAAUUUCACUCUAGAGCAGAUUACAAGUAAAUUUAUCUGCCACAUACGAGAAUCUAUUUACUUAUGUUAUAGCAACAUCUCUUUUCUAAAAUAAAAACAUGGCAAAUACUCAGCUUGAUCAUCUGCACUAUACAACAGAAUUUACUCGGAAUGACCUUUUGAUCAUUUGCAAAAAAUUCAAUUUAAUGUUAAUGGAUGAAGAUAUUAUAUCACUGUUGGCAAUAUUUAUAAAAAUGUGCUUAUGGCUCUGGAAGCAAUUCCUAAAAAGAGGUAGUAAAUGUUCUGAGACUUCAGAAUUGUUAGAAAAAGUUAAGCUUCAGUUGGCGUUUACUGCAUAUAAGUAUGUUGACAUAUGUUUUCCUGAGCAAAUGGCUUAUUCUAGAUAUAUACGUUGGUAUAUUCAUUGAAAAUUAGAUUUAUUAUGUUAUAAAAUGUGACUAAAAGCCCAUUUAAAGGGCACAUAUCUCUCAUCUUUUGGUUCUAACGUGAAGCCAAAUGAGGACAGGCGCAUGAUUCAGUUUAUACAAUAAGAAAAUUGCCCCAAAGUGGAUGAAGCACACACAUCAGCAGCUCAGCCCCACUCCGUACAAUCCAAGUGCAUUCAACAAGUGAUAUGGUUUGGCUGUGUCCCCACCCAAAUCUCAUCUUGAAUUGUAACUCCCAUGAUUCCCACAUGUCUGUGGGAGGAACCCGGUGGGAGGUGAUUUAAUUAUGGGGGUGGGUCUUUCCUGUGCUGUUCUCCUAAUAGUGAAUGAGUCUCAUGAGAUCUGAUGGUUUUAAAAAUGGGGGUUUCUCUGCAGAAGCUCUCUUUUUGCCUCCUGCCAUCCACAUACGAUGUGACUUGCUCCUCUUUGUCUUCCACUAUGAUUGUGAGGCCUCCUCAGCCAUGUGGAAUUGUAAGUUCAAUAAACCUCUUUGUUUUGUAAAUUGCCCAGUCUUGGGUAUGUCUUCAUCAGCAGCAUGAAAAUGGACUAAUACAACAAGUAAAUCACUGAACAUUUAAUCCCAGCAGUUCUCUUUUUUCAAACUUCUCCCGUUGAUUUUGUGUCAGCCCUGCCUGU